UCCAUCCACACCACACGUCAAAGGGACUUGAAAGCUUGAAUAAAGAUGCUCAACGUCUCAGGUCGCUGGAGCCUUGUCACCGGGUGAAACUCAGUUAUCUGUAGGGACGUGCGCACACACAGAAGCAGCGUAGGUUUUUCUUAAGCUGAAAGUCUCGUGCAUCCUGGUUUCGGCGCGAGGACAUUCCACCGACCGACAUGGAACUGAAGAAAUCUAUUUCGGACACCGAGCGCGCGCUCAGGAGCUACGGCGCCGUGUCGGAAACGGCAUGGACAACAGACAAAGGUCAUUCAGAUGUGUCCAUGGCGGAGAGCACCAUGGCUCCAGAGGAGAUCGAGGUGGAGAUGGCUCGGAUCCAGCGCCUGCGAGAGGUCCUGGUGCGCCGGGAGUCAGAGCUGCGCUUCAUGUGAAUGACAUACAG